rnacentral:rRNA from 1 species
GACGAACCGUACGAACGUUAUUCGGAAUUACUGGGCGUAAAGUGUGCGCAGGUGGCUUCGCAAGUCGAGUGUGAAAUCCCCGGGCUUAACCUGGGAAUUGCGCUCGAAACUACGGAGCUGGAGUGUGGCAGAGGGAGGUGGAAUUCCACGUGUAGCGGUGAAAUGCGUAGAGAUGUGGAGGAACACCAAUGGCGAAGGCAGCCUCCUGGGCCAACACUGACACUCAUGCACGAAAGCGUGGGGAGCAAACAGG